rnacentral:lncRNA from 1 species
GUUGAAUUUUUUCUUAAACUAAUUUUAGUUUCUCCUAUACGUUCCGUGGGAGAAGUUUACCCAAACUAACCCUAUGUCUUUUUUUAUUUCAAGAUCAGGGAUGUACUCAACCUGACCAGUGUGAUUAAGUUCUCAAUCAUGCAAUUUAUAACUUUAGUCUUUACAGGGUUUGUGUAUGUGAUAGCUCAAAUAGUCUUACCUUUGACCUCUUAAUAAUUAUAUCACUUCGAUUUAUUUUGAAAACAUUUUCUCAGUAUUAUAGUCAUCAGCAUUCACCAUCAAUGUGUUUUUCUCUGUAGAUCCGCCCAUUGUGGAGACAUUACUUCCAAAAUACCCAAGGACUUAUCUUUGUGGUUGACAGCAAUGACAGGGACCGAGUUGUUGAAGCUAGGGAUGAGCUGCAUAGAAUGCUGAAUGAGGUAAUAACUGAAUCAUGAAUGAGUGGACAUGGAAAGGGUAGCUUAUUUCAUAUUAUUUGAUUUCUCAUUAAUUCUGGAUAUUAUUAACUUUGGUAGGAUGAGUUGAGAGAUGCCGUGCUUCUAGUUUUUGCCAACAAGCAAGAUCUUCCAAAUGCUAUGAAUGCUGCGGAGAUUACUGAUAAGCUUGGUCUUCAUU